UACGUAGGGUCCGAGCGUUGUCCGGAAUUAUUGGGCGUAAAGAGCUCGUAGGCGGUUUGUCGCGUCUGCUGUGAAAUCCCGAGGCUCAACCUCGGGUCUGCAGUGGGUACGGGCAGACUGGAGUGCGGUAGGGGAGAAUGGAAUUCCUGGUGUAGCGGUGGAAUGCGCGGAUAUCAGGAGGAACACCGAUGGCGAAGGCAGGUCUCUGGGCCACUACUGACGCUGAGAAGCGAAAGCAUGGGGAGCGAACAGG
rnacentral:rRNA from 1 species